AUAGCACUUAAACUAUUGAGAAUGGAGGAUCCCAGGACAACAUUUAAAAUGACAGCUAAUGUCUGUGGAAACCCUGGGCGUUUAGGAGUGGCCUAAAGCUAGAGUUCUCUUUGAUUACGGGCACCACUUUCAGAUAAAAACAUAGACCUGAAUGGCAUCAUCCAGUAUCCAAGGAAACCAUUUCUUACAGUACCCUGGAACAUAAUUCACCAUGGCCAGGAUGAAUCUGCUGUACACAGGAGUGAUCCUUCUAACCUGCCAUGUCCAUAGUUAUGUGAGAAUCUAGGAUGGAGCUGAAAGAACUGUAUCUUCCUGGAUCAUACCCAAAAGGUCUCUAAGUGCACUGAUGACAGGAAAAUCUUCAGUGGUUCCAGAGACAAGCUGCUGGAAAUCCUGCACAUUUAUUUUCUAGAAGGAAAUGAGCUGAUGAGGAAUAAUCCCUUCAGAGAUCCUCCCUUUAAAAAACCUUAAAGGACUCCAAAUUAAAGCAUAGCCAUUUCUGGGACCCUAAAGUGACUCAAAAAAAGGAAACAUCACUUACUUAAUGUUAGGUGAAUUUCAAAAGCCUUAAUAAGGGGAGAGCAAAGGUAGGGAGAAAGAUGGUGAAUAAAUUGUGAGAACCUACCAAGUAAAGAAAUAUCUUUUAAAUUCCACGCAUCAUGUUUUAUUUCACUUUGUAUUUCAAUUAAAAAAGGAAAAAUAUGCAUUUUAAAAAGAUAUAUUUUUUGCUAUUAAUAUUAGCACUUAAUGUCUGAGUACAGAUCCAUCAUUCAUUAGGUCUACAGUAGCCCACAGCCCUAAUUUAUAAAUUCAUAAUCACAAGUCAGAUCAACUCAAUUGCUCAAGGCUGUGUAUUUGCAAGUUAGAGUAUACACUGCAAAUUUCCUGUCUUUGGGCCGGUAUACUGAGCAAUGGUACUUUUUAAAAAGAAUUUGCUCAUAUCUUAGAUUUAACAGAGUUGAAAAUGUUUAACCAAUAUCACUCAUGUAAUAUAAAGUGUAAAUUUAAGCAGUGUUCUAGAAAAUUCAAGGCAAAGUAGUUUAAACCAUUUGGCUCUUCCUAGAGGUUCUGAUUUUUUUUUUUAACCUGAAAAAGUAGGUAAUUACUCGAUAGCCUUAGCUCUAAAAUAUAUCUGACAGGUUAUUUUUAUUUGUUUGGUUUUCAGAAAUCAUAUCCAUGUUUUCUACUCUCUGUAGUCUUAGCAAAAUGAAUCAAAGCCACUCUGUAUCCAAAGGUANCCUAUGGUUUUUUUUUUUUUUUUUUUUUUUUUUUUAACAUUGCAGGCUUUACCUCAAGUGCUAUGCAGUAAAUUUACAGGGAAAGAAAUAUUUUAUUAAAUUAUAACUGAGAGGAGCGGAUUUUUUUUAUAUAGCAAACAAAAAAUUCCUUCAUGAAAGGUUAUAAAACCGAUAUUAUUUACCAGAGAGACCUUUCCUGUCUCCCAGGUAAACACUUACAGUGUGUAGACUUGUGUAAAUACAUAUUUAGGAGUGGCUAAAUAUGGCGAGGUAUUUUUAAAGCCAUAUUUACAAAGCUGAAUACAUAUAUUGGCAUUUUGGAAUGUGUAAGCUGGGCAUGCUGCUCUGCUGUCUAUUCAGAAUUCUAGCAGGACGCUGCUAGAUACACCUCAGAUAUGGGGACCGAAUUUCAAAACAUUCAUCUUUAAUCAGAAUUACUAAAGACAGGUCCUUAAAUCAUUUCAAAAGUGUGAAAAUUUUCAACUAAUGGAGUUCAAGACUUUCUCACCAGUUUGACUUGAGGAAAAUUGUUUCAGAAAUGCAGGCGUCAUUCAUGGAAAUAAAAUUUCUUUUCUG
rnacentral:lncRNA from 1 species